rnacentral:rRNA from 1 species
CAAGUCUUGACAUCCUCCUGGAUACAGGGUAAUGCCUGUAGGCCUUCGGGACAGGAGAGACAGGUGGUGCAUGGUUGUCGUCAGCUCGUGUCGUGAGAUGUUGGGUUAAGUCCCGCAACGAGCGCAACCCCUAUCUUUAGUAGCCAGCGAGCAAAGUCGGGCACUCUAGAGAGACUGCCGGGGAUAACCCGGAGGAAGGUGGGGAGGACGUCAAAUCAUCAUGCCCCUUAUGAUUUGGGCUACACACGUGCUACAAUGGCGUAAACAGAGGGAAGGGAGCCUGUGAGGGGGAGCAAAUCCCAAAAAUAACGUCCCAGUUCGGAUUGUAGUCUGCAACCCGACUACAUGAAGCUGGAAUCGCUAGUAAUCGCGGAUCAGAAUGCCGCGGUGAAUACGUUCCC